rnacentral:lncRNA from 1 species
GAAAAAUCCAACCGGGCAAGGCAGAGGCUCCCACCGCCCCCCGCCCCCACCCGGGGCCUGGGUGAAAAUCAUGCACACUCAAGGCUGGGGGGCGGGGGCAGGCUCUAACCUGGAAGUUUCCUCACCUGGCACUGGGUCACGUGCAAGUGGGGCAGCCUCGAUGUCCCUCCCCGCCACACCUGCCACCUGCCCUGAAGAAGCAGCAGAUCUUUGCCUGGCCUCCCCAUUUGCAGGAUGACAAGGUCCUGCGGGUGAAUGUGCCAGCCCCGGCAGCGCCCCCCGCCCCCCCUCACGGAACCUGGAGCAUUCUGGGCUGGCCGAGGAACAAGCGCUUUCUUUUUAUGAGCCUGCAAACCUCCAGCCUCCCGGCCUCCCGCCCUCCCAGCUGGCCUGGCGCCAGGGGCCCACAUCACCACCCAGACCCGUGGCCCAGGCUGUUCCCGAUUCCGGAGCGUCUGAGUCACUGCGCCUCGGCCGCCUCGGUGAAAGCCUUCCAGAAGAAUAAAGCAACAGGCUCUCCUCGGGGCCGCUGAUCGCAAUCUAUCACCACGUCUGCCUUUGGACCUCCUUUUUCUGCGAGCCAUGAAUGCCUCUAAUCCGGCGACGCAGGCUGUGGGUGUCAAAUUGUGAACUGCUAAGCAGGGGAAGGA